rnacentral:lncRNA from 1 species
UUUGCAAAGAAAAUAUUUUAAACUAGUAAUUUAAUGUCUAUAAUCCUUAGUUUAUUUAUUUGCAAAGACAAAGAGUGGUAUAUGUAGAGUGAUGUAUCUAGCACCAUAGAAAUUUUAGAAGAACCUUGUGAUUAGCUAAGAAAAAAUGAUAUAAGUAAAAUUAAAGUGAAGAAAGUACAUAAAUUUGAUUAAGAUCCAUAAGUUGCCAAUCUUAAAUGUUG